UGAUUUUCUUCUGGUGUGUACAGACUAAUGGGGAAAUUGGAUUAUUGUUUAGCAGCGAUAAUAUUUUCAGCUUCCUGUUUCUGCAAUGAGACCAAAGACCAUGUUAGAUGCAAGCUGCAAGAAAAGGAAAGAGCGUUCCCAGACUGUCAAAGACCCCAGCUCAUCCUGCACGUUGCAAAGGACCGUGGGGGGAUCUGUGCAGCUGCAACUGACCUCCUCCUCGUCUCCUGACAUCCGAGAGAUUGAGUGGAUUCGGGAUUCUGGUGAUGAGAGAGAUUUGUUUCUGGUGUCCUGGAAACCUAAUACCUCUAAUCCUGAAUGGUACGGGCUUGAAGAAAAAUACAAGCACAGAUUCAGCCUAACAGAGCUGGCGUUCUUGAUCAUCAGAAAUCUCAGUAUGCAAAUAAGUGAACUGUAUACAGUGAAAAUCAAGUUCCGGUCAGGAAAAUCCCAGGAGGAAGCCUUCAGGCUCUGUUUAUAUGGCUGGUGCAACAUCAGCCUGGAGUGUGGGACCCCAGGAGCCACAGAGAACCUGGCAGUGACCUGGCUGAGCAAGGGCCUCCCCAGGGAGUUGGAGCCAAGAGAAACAAUGGGGCCAGCCCCCAACUCCAGGAAUCUAAGCCUGAGCCUUGCCCUGGGCCAGUUGAAUGGCCACCUCACCUGUAUGGUCAGCAACUCUAUGGACGACAAGAAUGCAACCUUACACCCGGAAAACAUCUAUCCAUCGACGGAGCAAACGGCUUUGGAGAGGCAUCCGUCCCACGGUUCUGAUGGUGGGCCUGGGCGCUGGAGUGUGGAUCUGGAUGAGGAAGAAGAUGGAGACUGGGAGAGGUGGGUCUGCUCUCCUGCCCGAGGGGCCCGGCUCAGCAGCUGCUCCCCAGGCCCUUCCCACAGAAGAAUCUGCUGACCUGCACACUGGUGGGGCUGAUAGCCACGACUCCCCCUACAUGAAGAUCAGACUCCUGGGACACCCUGAGAAAGACAUGGAGAAGGGCAGCUGCCAUUCAUACAGCCCUGAGUGUGCUCCAGUAAUCCACACUAUCUAUGAGAAGAUCCAGAAAAGCCCAGAACCCCAGGAUGACACCGAGACCACGGAGACACUGGGGCAGUGAGGGGCCUUCACAAGAUCUCCCCCCCUCACCCUGCACUCCAGGAUCUCAAGAUCUCCCUCUUUAAGGUGGAGCUGGGACUAGACCCCAUGUCUUUCUGACCCAUCCCACUGAGACAGCAGAGCAGCAGGAGCUGCUCCCCUGGGUUCCCACCAAAGUUUUCUCCCUUCACAGUGAUGGUGCUACUCUAAUAUCCAAGUACAAGAGGUAAGCCUUUCAGCAGUCAGCCAGAUUUCUGACCUGUGACCAUCUUAACCCCUUUAGGGAACACCCCUGGUUAGGCGGGACAUGCAUAAGGAUGGUCAGGGGAUAGAGAUGCUUUCCUGGAAUAGGGAGGGUCCUGGUGCCUCUCACAAUGAUGAGUCUUGGGUGAAGGAACUUCAGGAUGUCAUAGCCCAGCCCAGUACCCAAGAAUAGAGAAAGCAAUGGCCUUUGACUAUGGACAAGCCAGAGGCUGGCAGAUACAAGAUUCCGGGUCAACUGUGCCUGGGAGGGGUGGAAAGAGAGGGAAACACUUUUUGAGUUCCACCACCUACCAGGCUUAAUCUAAGCACAGUAAAUGAACUAUCUCAGGAUUUUUCAAAUUCAAGUGAUUCACAGACCCUUUUAUUUUUAUUACAUAAUAUAUCCAUGCAGUGUAAAAGUCAAAAGGCAGGUCUUGUUGACAUGAUAAUGUUUCAGCAUCUUAUUGCUAUUGUAAAUGGGGUCUUGUUCCCAUUAGAUCUUCCAACUAGUUGAUUAAAAUAAUGCACAAAUAACAUAUAUAAAUUUUCCUGUUACUAACUUUCUUUUCUGUUUGUAACAGUUUUUCAUUUGAUCCCUUUGAAUAUCUGACUAAAUAACCAUAUUAUCAACAAAUAAUUAUAAUGUUUGCUUCCUUCUUUCCAAUUUUUAUGACUCAUUUCUUUCUCUUGUCUAAUUGCAUUGGCUAAUACCUCCAAAGCCAUGCUAAAUAAUACUGAUAAAAAUGUCCUUGUAUUGUUCCUCACUUUAAUAUAAAUGCUUCUAGUGUUUCUCCAUUAAGCAUGAUGUUUUUAUUAGGUUAAGACAUAUCCGUUUUGUCGUGUUAGGAAAGCAUGUACUUAUUCUUAUAUUAUAAAGAGUUAUACUGAGAACAAAAUGUUAAAUUUUAUUGUUUCUCGUUUCAUCUGUGCAAAUUUCAUAUGCUUGUUCUUUUUCAUCUAUUAAUAAAAUAUUGAAAGAUUUCC
ensembl:lncRNA